rfam:Ornithorhynchus anatinus chromosome 3, whole genome shotgun sequence.
CCCCUCUUAAGAUCACACCUGGAGAAUUUCCAGGACUCUACCAGUCUCAGCUAUGGCAGGGAGAGUCAAGCAGAGGUACACCCACUCCAUUCCUAGCUUGGGCAGUGGCUAGUGAGUGGAAGGCCAUCUGCUACAAGU